UACAGAGGGGGCAAGCGUUGUUCGGAAUUACUGGGCGUAAAGGGCGCGUAGGCGGCCUGUUAAGUCGAACGUGAAAUCCCCGGGCUCAACCCGGGAACUGCGUCCGAUACUGGCAGGCUUGAAUUCGGGAGAGGGAUGUGGAAUUCCAGGUGUAGCGGUGAAAUGCGUAGAUAUCUGGAGGAACACCGGUGGCGAAGGCGGCAUCCC
rnacentral:rRNA from 1 species